rnacentral:rRNA from 1 species
AUAUCAAUAAGCGGAGGAAAAGAAACCAACAGGGAUUGCCCUAGUAACGGCGAGUGAAGCGGCAACAGCUCAAAUUUGAAAUCUGGCCCUAGGCCCGAGUUGUAAUUUGUAGAGGAUGCUUUUGGUGCGGUACUUUCCGAGUUCCCUGGAACGGGACGCCUUAGAGGGUGAGAGCCCCGUACGGUUGGAUACCUAGCCUCUGUAAAGCUCCUUCGACGAGUCGAGUAGUUUGGGAUUGCAACUCAAAAUGGGUGGUAGAUCUCAUCUAAAGCUAAAUAUAUCGGGGAGACCGAUAGCGCACAAGUA